CCUACGGGGGGCAGCAGUGGGGAAUAUUGGACAAUGGGCGAAAGCCUGAUCCAGCCAUGCCGCGUGUGUGAAGAAGGCCUUCGGGUUGUAAAGCACUUUCAGUGGGGAAGAAAGCCUUGGGGCUAAUACCCUCGAGGAAGGACAUCACCCACAGAAGAAGCACCGGCUAACUCCGUGCCAGCAGCCGCGGUAAUACGGAGGGUGCGAGCGUUAAUCGGAAUUACUGGGCGUAAAGCGCGCGUAGGCGGUCUGAUAAGCCGGUUGUGAAAGCCCCGGGCUCAACCUGGGAACGGCAUCCGGAACGGUCAGGCUAGAGUGCAGGAGAGGAAGGUAGAAUUCCCGGUGUAGCGGUGAAAUGCGUAGAGAUCGGGAGGAAUACCAGUGGCGAAGGCGGCCUUCUGGACUGACACUGACGCUGAGGUGCGAAAGCGUGGGUAGCAAACAGGAUUAGAUACCCUAGUAGUC
rnacentral:rRNA from 1 species